GAUGAAGAACGUAGCGAAAUGCGAUAAGUAGUGUGAAUUGCAGAAUUCAGCGAAUCAUCGAAUCUUUGAACGCACAUUGCGCCCUUCGGUUAUUCCUUAGGGCAUGCCUGUUCGAGCGUCAUUUCAACCUUCAAGCCUGGCUUGGUGUUGGGCGCUGUCCCGCCUCCGCGCGCGGACUCGCCCCAAAUGAAUUGGCAGUCGCACCCUCCGAGCCGCGAGCGCAGCACAAGUCGCGCGGGCGGAACUCUGGGGGGACGGACGCUCCACAAGACCCUUUCUCAGUCUUGACCUCGGAUCAGGUAGGGAUACCCGCUGAACUUAAGCAUAUCAAUAAGCAGAGGA
rnacentral:misc_RNA from 1 species